rnacentral:tRNA from 1 species
GCCGGGGUGGCGAAACCGGUCAUACGCGGCCGCCUUAAAAGCGGCUGUCCUUCGGGACGUCUGGGUUCGAGUCCCAGCCCCGGCA